GAUGAACGCUGGCGGCGUGCCUAAUACAUGCAAGUCGAGCGAACAGACGAGGAGCUUGCUCCUCUGACGUUAGCGGCGGACGGGUGAGUAACACGUGGAUAACCUACCUAUAAGACUGGGAUAACUUCGGGAAACCGGAGCUAAUACCGGAUAAUAUAUUGAACCGCAUGGUUCAAUAGUGAAAGACGGUUUUGCUGUCACUUAUAGAUGGAUCCGCGCCGCAUUAGCUAGUUGGUAAGGUAACGGCUUACCAAGGCAACGAUGCGUAGCCGACCUGAGAGGGUGAUCGGCCACACUGGAACUGAGACACCGUCCAGACUCCUACGGGAGGCAGCAGUAGGGAAUCUUCCGCAAAGGGCGAAAGCCUGACGGAGCAACGCCGCGUGAGUGAUGAAGGUCUUCGGAUCGUAAAACUCUGUUAUUAGGGAAGAACAAAUGUGUAAGUAACUAUGCACGUCUUGACGGUACCUAAUCAGAAAGCCACGGCUAACUACGUG
rnacentral:rRNA from 1 species